AGUGAACGCUGGCGGUAGGCCUAACACAUGCAAGUCGAACGGCAGCACAGUAAGAGCUUGCUCUUACGGGUGGCGAGUGGCGGACGGGUGAGGAAUGCAUCGGAAUCUACUUUUUCGUGGGGGAUAACGUAGGGAAACUUACGCUAAUACCGCAUACGACCUACGGGUGAAAGCAGGGGAUCUUCGGACCUUGCGCGAUUGAAUGAGCCGAUGUCGGAUUAGCUAGUUGGCGGGGUAAAGGCCCACCGAGGCGACGAUCCGUAGCUGGUCUGAGAGGAUGAUCAGCCACACUGGAACUGAGACACGGUCCAGACUCCUACGGGAGGCAGCAGUGGGGAAUAUUGGACAAUGGGCGCAAGCCUGAUCCAGCCAUACCGCGUGGGUGAAGAAGGCCUUCGGGUUGUAAAGCCCUUUUGUUGGGAAAGAAAAGCAGCAGGUUAAUACCCCGCUGUUCUGACGGUACCCAAAGAAUAAGCACCGGCUAACUUCGUG
rnacentral:rRNA from 1 species